rnacentral:rRNA from 1 species
CAUCAAGCUUGCUUGGUGGUGAGAGUGGCGAACGGGUGAGUAAUGCGUGACCGACCUGCCCCAUGCUCCGGAAUAGCUCCUGGAAACGGGUGGUAAUGCCGGAUGUUCCACAUGAUCGCAUGUGAUUGUGGGAAAGAUUCUAUCGGCGUGGGAUGGGGUCGCGUCCUAUCAGCUUGUUGGUGAGGUAACGGCUCACCAAGGCUUCGACGGGUAGCCGGCCUGAGAGGGCGACCGGCCACAUUGGGACUGAGAUACGGCCCAGACUCCUACGGGAGGCAGCAGUGGGGAAUAUUGCACAAUGGGCGCAAGCCUGAUGCAGCGACGCCGCGUGAGGGAUGGAGGCCUUCGGGUUGUAAACCUCUUUUGUUUGGGAGCAAGCCUUCGGGUGAGUGUACCUUUCGAAUAAGCGCCGGCUAACUACGUGCCAGCAGCCGCGGUAAUACGUAGGGCGCAAGCGUUAUCCGGAUUUAUUGGGCGUAAAGGGCUCGUAGGCGGCUCGUCGCGUCCGGUGUGAAAGUCCAUCGCUUAACGGUGGAUCUGCGCCGGGUACGGGCGGGCUGGAGUGCGGUAGGGGAGACUGGAAUUCCCGGUGUAACGGUGGAAUGUGUAGAUAUCGGGAAGAACACCGAUGGCGAAGGCAGGU